CCUACGAGCUUCUUGGAAGAUGAACGUUUAGGGGCAAAAGUGGGGAUUUUUGCAGGGUCAACAUUGGGGAAAGCGCAUUGGGAACAAAGGUAACGAGAGGUGCAAGGGAACCAGGAGAGGCUGCUCCCAGUGUCCAUAAUGAAAGGAAGGGUUUGAGGCGGAGUUCCAAAUUUGAGGGAGAUAGUGUAGCCCCCAUAACUGUGAGGAAAUAGGGAAGCCCUGAGAAGAGAAGAGGUAGUAUUAUC
rnacentral:lncRNA from 1 species